ACAGUCACUGACAUUAGAUACCCCCGUAGUCCAGGGUGUAAACGCUGCAGACUUGGUGUUGGGGCCCUUUGGGGCAUUCAGUGCCGGAGAGAAGUUGUUAAGUCUGCUACUUGGGGAGUACGUCCGCAAGGAUGAAACUUAAAGGAAUUGGCGGGGGAGCACCGCAACGGGAGGAGCGUGCGGUUUAAUUGGAUUCAACACCGUAAACUCACCAGGGAAGACUGUUACAUGAAGGCCGAGAUGAAGACUCUGCUAGAUUUUCAG
rnacentral:rRNA from 1 species